GUGAACCCGUACCGGAUGGUCAUCGUGGUGCGUCUCGUCGUGCUCGCCUUCUUCCUCCGCUACCGCAUCCUGCACCCUGUCCCGGACGCCAUCGGGCUGUGGCUCGUCUCCAUCAUCUGCGAGAUCUGGUUCGCCAUCUCCUGGAUCCUGGACCAGUUCCCCAAGUGGUUCCCCAUCGACCGCGAGACGUACCUGGACCGCCUCACCCUCCGGUACGAGAGGGAAGGGGAGCCGUCGCUGCUGUCGGCGGUGGACCUCUUCGUGAGCACGGUGGACCCGCUCAAGGAGCCGCCGCUGGUGACCGCCAACACCGUGCUCUCCAUCCUCGCCGUCGACUACCCCGUCGACAAGGUCUCCUGCUACGUCUCCGACGACGGCGCGUCCAUGCUCACCUUCGAGGCGCUGUCGGAGACGGCCGAGUUCGC
rnacentral:lncRNA from 1 species